rnacentral:rRNA from 1 species
CCUACGGGCUGCAGCAGUGGGGAAUAUUGGGCAAUGGGCGCAAGCCUGACCCAGCAAUGCCGCGUGAAGGAAGAAGGCUUUCGGGUUGUAAACUUCUUUGACAGGGGAAGAGCAGAAGACGGUACCCUGAAAACAAGCCACGGCUAACUACGUGCCAGCAGCCGCGGUAAUACGUAGGUGGCAAGCGUUGUCCGGAUUUACUGGGUGUAAAGGGCGUGUAGCCGGGAAGGCAAGUCAGAUGUGAAAUCUGGAGGCUCAACCUCCAAAUUGCAUUUGAAACUUUUUUUCUUGAGUACUGGAGAGGCAGACGGAAUUCCUUGUGUAGCGGUGAAAUGCGUAGAUAUAAGGAGGAACACCAGUGGCGAAGGCGGUCUGCUGGACAGCACCUGACGGUGCGGCGCGAAAGCGUGGGGAGCAAACAGGAUUAGAUACCCCAGUAGUC